ACGCUAGCGGUUCCGGUUCGGCUCCUGCCGCCCCUUCACUCCUCACCUCCCCCUUCUCUCUGGCGCCUCUCCUGCCUCCCGCUCCUGGGAAAGAGAGAAGUCACCGCUGCGGUUGGGUUAGAGGAGCACUCAGCGCCUUCGGGAGGGGGCUGCGCCCGCCGCACCAGAGCCUUGGAGAAAGACAGGAUCAGGAGGACAGUUGUGAGGCCAGUUCACUUUUGACUCAAUGGGACUGAAUGGGUGAGUAAGUGAGUGGGCAAGCAGGGUCCUUGGUAAGGGUGGUAGAUGGGAGAGAACUCAGGCUUUGGACUCCUGGCUAGAUUGGCUGAGUGAUCUAGGCAAUGAUCUUAACCUCUCUAGAAAGGAAUAAUUGUCUUCUAAGGUAUAUAAGUCUAGGUUAACUCUAC
rnacentral:lncRNA from 1 species